UGGAAACAGCCAGUCUCGAUUGGCCACAGCCUCAAGAAACCAGAAGAGCAGGAAGUCAGGGAAGGGUCGGAAAAAGUCCAACAGUGAAAGCGAGGAAUUGUACGCAGGAAGGGGGCACUCCGAUUCUUUCGGCCUUCAAAACCCAC